GGCUUGCUCCUGGAUUUCAGCCUCUGGAUUCUUCUUGCAGAUCUGGUUCCUGAUUUCUGACCCAGAUGGGAGCAAGUGUCAUGUUGAAUAUCAUACUGCACUUCUGUAAGGUCUCUGCAAUGUCUAAAAAUGAGGAGGAGGAGGAGAUGAUGGCGAGUAAUUCUGGCCAUCUUGGGAUUCACUUAAACCCAUCGAGACCGUGACUGGACACGAUGUAAUUGUCUGAAGAGG